rnacentral:rRNA from 1 species
GCUGGCGGCACGCUUAACACAUGCAAGUCGAACGGUAACAGCUCUAUUAUUUCGGUAAUGGAGGCUGACGAGUGGCGGACGGGUGAGUAAUGCGUAGGAAUCUAUCUUGAAGUGGGGGAUAACUUGGGGAAACUCAAGCUAAUACCGCAUAAUACUUUUGUUUUCAAAAAGGAAAUUUGCCUUUCCAUUUCGGUGGGAGGGUGAAGCUUUAAGGUGAGCCUACGUUGGAUUAGCUUGUAGGUGAGGUAAAAGCUCACCUAGGCGACGAUCCAUAGCUGUUCUGAGAGGAAGAUCAGCCACACUGGGACUGAGACACGGCCCAGACUCCUACGGGAGGCAGCAGUGGGGAAUAUUGGACAAUGGGGGCAACCCUGAUCCAGCGAUGCCGCGUGUGUGAAGAAGGCCUACGGGUUGUAAAGCACUUUCAGUGAGGAGGAAAGAUAUUAGUUGAAUACGCUAAUAUUGUGACGUUACUCACAGAAGAAGCACCGGCUAACUCUGUG